rnacentral:tRNA from 1 species
GGGGCUGUGGCUCCUUGUGAGAGCAUGUGCUUGGCAUGCAGAAAGUCCCAGGUUCAAUCCCCGGCAUCUCCA